CACACACACACACACACACACACAUAUAGAAGAUACUGAGUACAACCACCCCCCACCUUCACCCAUCCGUGGACUACUCUGGACUCAGCACUCCACCAGCAUGCCGUUAUGGGGACCAGAUGGGAAACCUGAGCAUUAGAGAGUACUCUCACUCUGCAGAACCGGACCCAUAAAAAUAACAGCGGUUUUGAUGUUCAACGGUGUUGAUGGGGCCCCCCUCUUAAAAAAUCUGGAGUACAGUAGUGGAGAGAAAUGUUGCACACUGGAGCGGGCUGGAGUGAACACAAAGCCGGCUCAGCAGGUGUUCAUCCUGGGGCCUAGCAGGGGCUGCCGCUGUGAUGUGCAGGAAUGUGUCGGGCGAGGGGGACACCAGGCUGGUGGAGCUGGAGAGGGAUUAGUGCCCAGCACCCACCAACCCCUCACAGCAGGAGCUGUCAUGUCAACCCAGCCUCACUCUGAUUGGGUAUUGGUCAGGGGACAGUUUCAGGUCACAGCACCGGCAGCCUUGAACGCUGGGCACACCAUUCUCUCUCACAAUGUACAGCAGGCAACAUAUACAUGCUCUGACAACCCACGGUGGAGCAACAAAAGAGGAAGGGGAGGUUGAGUCUCUAUCGAUUACCCUCUUCGACCCACUCUAUUGGACUCAUUAGCUGUGGAAUACGACCGGAUCCAUAGACAUUCCAGGUCCAAUAUGAUUUCAGACGGAAUGUCAGGCAUUACAAAAUUGACCCUGGAGUGAUUUGUGGGAGAUGGAGGAGGAGAAGGACGAAAAAAGUUAACUGUGCAUGAUGGAGAAAAGGAAACAUCUCCCCAUCACAUCUACAGAAACCAGCACUUCACCAGAGACCCCCAGACAGACACAGGGAAGAGAGGAAGAGGGACCGAGGGGGGCGGGAGGCCGGUGGUGGCUGGUCCACUCCAGGAAUCUGAGGCGAGGGAGGUCCCUCCGCCCCCUUUGGACAUCGAGGGGGCCCUGGUGUACUCCGUUCGUUCCAUCCUGGAUUCGAGGCAUCGGGCAGGGGGCCUUCAGUACCUUGUGGAGUGGGAGGGAUACGGUCCGGAGGAGAGGUGCUGGGUCCCGGUUGCGGAUGUUUUGGACCCCGAACUGCUGCGGGAGUUUCACCAUCGCCGGCUGGAUCGCCCUGCGCUUCGCCCUCCGCAUCGUCCUGAGGUCGGUGUCGGCGUGCCACUGGAGCCGCUCGUCAAGGGAGGGGUACUGUCACGACUUCCGCCGAAGUCGGCUCCUCUCCUUGUUCAGGCGGCGUUCGGCGAUCGACGUCACCGGCUUUCUAGCCAUCGCCGCUCCAUUUCUCAUAUGUCCAUUUGUUUUGUCUUGUUCCAUACACACCUGGUUUACAUUCCCCAAUCAAUCUACAUGUAUUUAGUCCUCUGUUCCCCAUCAUGUCUUUAUGUGUAAUUGUUUAUUGUUACGUGGGAUAUUUGUCAGGCGCUGCACUUUUGUUAUUAGACCGUGUUUUUGGCACUAGUAUGUUUUAGGUGCUGUCGUUGUUGACCGGUAUUAAAGUGCGCCUGUUUAUUAUACUCCAAGGGAAGCUUCUUCUUCAUGACACCCACCAGUAUUAUUAGAAACAUCAGUCAAGCUGUUAGGGCCUUGCAAACAGAAGUGCCUGCUGAUGUCCCAUUCCCCAUGUGAUGUAUGGUUAGCCCUCACUCGACAAACAUGUAGGGCAAGGGCCAUGCACCAGGGCACCCCUUGUUGAUGAAGUGGCACCACCCUAAACAAAUUCCCACAAAGGCAGGAAGGGCAGGGGCAUUGAACCCCUACUCCCUAGAAAAAGGCCUUCCCGUCCACUCAGCCCUGUGUACAGGGCAUUGACUGUAAGGACACACAGGGAGGAGCACAACGAUGGGCAAUACAGGCUGUUUUUCCUGUUGAAGCAUUCUUUGUGUGAGAGAAGAGGACUCCUCUCUGGAAACACAGGAAGGCUCACCAGGGGUCGGCAGAGGAAUGUAAACACACACAUAGACUCCCUCCACACCACAGAGUGUGCUGUGUGCAAACUUGACAUAUCCCAUAGGUCUUCCCCCGGAAUGAAAAACAUAAACAUCACGCUGAUUUCACUUGUGUGGAUAAUGGACGGAUGUUAACUUGCUUACCCGUAAAACUUCAAUUAAAUGCUGAGUCUCAAAUAGACUUCAGCCAACCAAGUCAUAGACGGUUCUCUCUGCUGCCGCACGGCAAGUGGUACCGUUGCACCAAGUCUGGACCCAACAGGACCCAGCUUCUAUCCCCAAGCCAUAAGGCUGCUAAAUAGUUAGUUAAAUAGUUAACCUAAUUGCUACCCAGACUAAAAAGGCAAAAAAGAUCAUCAAGGACAACAACCACCCGAGCCACUGCCUUUUCACCCCGCUAUCAUCCAGAAGGCGAGGCCAACAGACUGUUAAAUAGCCAUCACUAGCACAUUAGAGUCUGCUGCCCUAUAUACAUAGACUUGAAAUCACUGGUGACUUUAGUAAUGGAACACUAGUCACUUUAAUAAUCUUUACAUACUGCUUUACUCAUCUCAUAUGUAUAUACUGUAUUCUAUUCUACUGUAUCUUAUUCUAUGCCGCUCUGACAUUGCUCAUCCAAAUAUUUAUAUAUUCUUAAUUCCAUUCCUUUACUUAAGAUUUGUGUGUAUUGUUGUGAAAUGUUAGAUAUUACUUGUUAGAUAUUACUGCACUGUUGGAGCUAGAAACACACGCAUUUCGCUACACUCGCAAUAACAUCUGCUAAACACGUGUAUGUGACCAAAAAAAUGUGAUUUGAUUAGAUUUUGACUAUCGGCAUUGACCCUUUUUGCACUAACUUUUUUUGACUCAUCACAUACGCUGCUGCUACUGUUUACUAUCUGUCACUUUACUCCGAGUUAUAUGUCACCUAAAACACUCACCCCGCCCUCAACCUCAAUGCUCUCCAGAGGGUAGUGCGGUCUGCACAACACAUCACCGGGGGCAAACUAACUGCCCUCCAAGACACCUACCGCACCCGAUGUCACAGGAAGGUCAAAAAGAUCAUCAAGGACAACAACCACUGCCUGUUCACCCCGCUAUCAUCCAGAAGGCGAGGUCAGUACAGGUGCAUCAAAGCUGGGACCGAGAGACUGAAAAACAGCUUCUAUCUCAAAGCCAUCAGACUGUUAAACAGCCAUCACUAACAUUGAGUGGCUGCUGCGAACAUACAGACACAAAUCUCUGGCCACUUAAAUAAAUUGACUUAAUAAAUGUAUCACUAGUCACUUUAAAUAACGCCACUUUAAUAAGGUUUACAUAUCCUACAUUACUUAUCUCAUAUGUAUAUACUGUAUUCUAUACCAUCUACUGCAUCUUGCCUAUGCAGCACGGCCAUCGCUCAUCCAUAUAUUUAUAUGUACAUAUUCUUAUUCAUCCCUUUACAUUUGUGUGUAUAAGGUAGUCAUUGUGAAUUUGUUAGAUUACUGUUAGAUUACUUACGGGAAGGACCCGUAAGUAAGCAUUUCACUGUUAGUCUACACCUGUUGUUUACAAAGCAUGUAGUGAAUAAAAUUGUAUUUUAUUUGGCCAUGCAUGACUGACCGUAGCGGCAAAGCCAGCAAAAUGCAAAGGGUUUGUUUCAAACUGUCUCUUUUCAUGUACUGUAGUAUCUAAAAGACAGGUCUUCUGCUGCCAAAUCUGUACCCCUAGCCACUAGCUAAAUCCACACAGAUUUACCCAUGACUUGACUUUGGAACAUUGUUAUUUUUUCUUUGCAUCAGGGUUUUUUCCCAUCCUGCCAAAUGAUGUUGGUUGUUCUGUUAGAAGUGAGCUCGGGAUCAAAAGGAGGGAUGGUGUGAUGGGUGUAUGGGCAUGGGGGGGUGUUGCAGCUGUCUGGAUCAAAUGGAUCAGAGUCAACUGGGGUGGGGUGGUUUAGGCAGGGGGCUCAUAGGGGACACCUAUUCUUCUGUGUCAUAGCCAGCCUGCACGGCACAUAUGCCAGUCCCAAGGCCACUCUGAAAGCCAUGCCCCCAUGCAGCCUUCUCAACUGUAACUCUGUGUAAUAACAUGGCCUGUUCUUCCAUUAAUGGUUUCCAUGAUGCGGCCGUCCUCUUCACUCCACUGAAAUGUGUGUGAGUGAUAUAUAUAUAUAUAUGUCCCCAGCAGACACACGUUGUGAAUGUGUGUACAUGAGCACUUUGUUUGAGUUUUGUUUUCAGACACCAAGACAAUAGAAAUGCCAAAACAGAUGUAGAAACAGUUAGAGUGGUGUUGCGGAUGUUUGUACUCCCUCUCUCCCCCUCGCCUUGUGAUUGCACAUCAACGUUGUAGAGUAAGUGUUAAAGUGCCUGUGAUUGAUUUGGUUGUUUAGCUCCUUGAAGCAGUAGUCUGUUAAUGAAGGAGCCCUGAACUCGGACUGCAGAGAGUGGUGAGAUCACAGACAGCCCCUGGACAACACUGUCCUUGGAACAAUGGUUAACCCUAAUUAGAAGUGUUAUUUGUAACAUAGGCAGCUUUUUGUGCAGCCACUGGCCAUUGUCAUUUAACCCAAAAGGCGAUAAUGCUUGAUAGUGGGUUAGGUGUUUGAAGGUUUUAAUGGUACCUGGUAAAAGUGGUGAACAGUUGAGAACAGCUGACAUGGGUUAAGGAAGUGAGAGAAGCACUGUCAUGGCAAAUACACACACUCCCUACUGUUUGUUUGCUCCCAGCUUGGGGAGGUGGGCUGAGCUGGUUUCAACACUGACUGAUUUAUAGUUUGGCGCUGUCUAUCAAGCAGCUGACAGAUGGACAUUGCACUGCAACCUCAGCAGCACAGCAGACACAUCACUUUCCAAACUCCAUCCAUUUCACUACCAACUGGAAUGCUAAGGAUAAGUCAAUGGGGCAUUCUUUUCUACACUUUUGACUACUUUAAUACACAUAUAAGUGAAUUUGUCCCAAUACUUUUGGUCCCCUAAAAUGGGGGACUAUGUACAAAAAGUGCUUUAAUUUCUAAAUGGAAAAGACCCUCAAAUUAAAGCUGACAGUCUGCACUUUAUUGUCACAGUCAUUGUAUCAUUUCAAAUCGAAAGUCCUGGAGUACAGAACCAAAAC
rnacentral:lncRNA from 1 species